AAUCAGUACCUUUUGUACAUUAACAUGCCCAAGAAUAGGAUCUGUGUUUUUCUGUUGAUAAGCAUGUGAUAAUAAAAAUAACUGUGUAAAGUAGUAAGAAAAAAAGUCAAUCCUACACCUGGCCUACAGGUGUUCUAAAGAAUGUGAGAUCUGUAUGCUUCAGUGAAACUUUGCAAGAGGAGUGAAUAUAGCAAUUACCCUCAAUAGUCAUUUUUUAACAGAGGAAUGGAAUGUUCUGCAGGUGCUGCAGCUCCAUGAUUUCUAUCAAAAGGCUUUAGAAAAUGCUGUUCGUGAAAAUGCCUUUCUGGAUCAGCCCCGCACUUAGAUGAGACACUGAGAUUUUUGGGAAGGGUCUCCCUCUGG
rnacentral:lncRNA from 1 species